CCUACGGGUGGCUGCAGUGGGGAAUAUUGGACAAUGGGCGAAAGCCUGAUCCAGCCAUGCCGCGUGUGUGAAGAAGGCCUUCGGGUUGUAAAGCACUUUCAGUGGGGAAGAAAGCCUUGGGGCUAAUACCCUCGAGGAAGGACAUCACCCACAGAAGAAGCACCGGCUAACUCCGUGCCAGCAGCCGCGGUAAUACGGAGGGUGCGAGCGUUAAUCGGAAUUACUGGGCGUAAAGCGCGCGUAGGCGGUCUGAUAAGCCGGUUGUGAAAGCCCCGGGCUCAACCUGGGAACGGCAUCCGGAACUGUCAGGAUAGAGUGCAGGAGAGGAAGGUAGAAUUCCCGGUGUAGCGGUGAAAUGCGUAGAGAUCGGGAGGAAUACCAGUGGCGAAGGCGGCCUUCUGGACUGACACUGACGCUGAGGUGCGAAAGCGUGGGUAGCAAACAGGAUUAGAUACCCCUGUAGUC
rnacentral:rRNA from 1 species